GCAAUCUAACUUGUUGUUUGUGAGUCAGCUCGUAUUUUGACUCUCAUUUAAUAAACAAGACAAACACAAGCUAAGGUUAGCUUGCUUCGAGCAAUAUAUAUAUAUAUAUAUAUAUAUAUAUAUAUAUAUAUAUAUAUAUAUAUAUAUAUAGUGCGGCUAUGGUGCUUGUAAAAGCACCAAGCACUUGGUGCUUGUAGGUUUUUAACCGUUAGAUCAGCACUGUUGAUCAUUUACACCCGUUAGAUUAUGCUAUUCAACCAACCAUCCGCUCAACCCUAGGGGGCCCACAUCAUGCUAACCACAUAUUUCUUAAUCCAAAGACUGAAAACUUACAAGCACCGAUAUCUUAGUACUUUUAAAAGCAUAGGAGCUCAAUUAUAUAUAUAUAUAUAUAUAUCGCCCUUGGAUUAAGGUAAUGUGCGUUGAGAUACUAAUAAUUCUCUAGAAUAAAAUGGGUGGUCAAUUGAAUAGUACGAUCUAAUAUGUGAGAAAAUAGUCAAGGGGGUAUCUAACUUUCUUCUAACUACCGAUUGUCCCUAGAGCAAGUAGCAAAGAGCUUGGUGGUUGGUAUCUAAGGUCCUAAGUUCAAAUCCUAGUUGAUUAACAUUUCCAACUAAGUUUAUUUUUAAAUAAAAUAAACGAAACGGGUAGCACGCUACCUAUCUCUCUCAAAAAAAAAAAAAAACUUUCUUUUAACUUUUUAUCCAGUAGUAAGACUAACAACCGCUCGCAAACUAGCUCGUAUUCGACUUGUUAAUAAAUAAUUUUUUAGCUUGAUAUUUUACUGAACUAGUCCGUGUAC
rnacentral:lncRNA from 1 species